UACGGGGGGGGCAAGCGUUGUUCGGAAUUACUGGGCGUAAAGGGCUCGUAGGCGGCCAACUAAGUCAGACGUGAAAUCCCUCGGCUUAACCGGGGAACUGCGUCUGAUACUGGAUGGCUUGAGUUCGGGAGAGGGAUGCGGAAUUCCAGGUGUAGCGGUGAAAUGCGUAGAUAUCUGGAGGAACACCGGUGGCGAAGGCGGCAU
rnacentral:rRNA from 1 species